UGCAUUUAUGGAAAUUAUUAAUUUAUUUGGGAAUUUGGAGAUAUAAGAAAAAAUAAAUUAAUUUAAUGGAUUUUUGAAAGUUUUCGGGUGUAAGUGCAAUAAAGGAAAUUGGAGUCUGGGGUGUGUGUGCCAAUAAUGAAAGUUCUGGGGGCUGAAAUGUGAUUUGCCGAAGUGGCCGCAAAUCACCUUAAAUAUAAGUGAAGGCAUUAUAUGGUUAAAGGAGUCGGCUAGCGCGGGCGGUCGCGAGUGCUCGUGUGCUGGGUGAGGUCGCGGGUUCGAGCCCCCUCGGGUGUGCGCGCGCGCUGGAGAAUUUUGGCUGAUUUUUCAGCCAAAAUCCUUGCCCAAAACGGCGUCGUUUUGGGCAAGGCGGUGGCAGCCAUGUGCAGCUGCUGGGCGCGCCACGUGGCGCGCUGUGGGCCGCCCAUUUGCCUCGCGUUAAAGCAGCAUUUUUGCUGCGAUUUUAAGGCCGAUUUCGGCCAAAUUUGAGACAGAACCAGAGGAAGAAAAAUGAAGAAGAAGCAGCGCGCGCGAGGGUCAUUUUUUAGAGAAAAAUUGAAGAUUAAAUUACGUUUAAUCGUGAUUUAAUUAAUCAGCGUGUAUUAAUUUGGUGAUGUUUAAGCAUGGAAACGCUGUAAUCAGCUUAAGCGAGGCAAGUUCUCCUCUACCCUUGCGAUCUAUUUCCAUUUGCGGGAAUGCAAGAAAUGGAGGAAACGGUCGUGUAAAGGCAAUGCCAGCGUAGGUCCGAGCAAGGGAGUCAGCUUUUGCGGCAGAGUCGGUGUGGUGUACAGGCAGUCUCGUCAAUCCCUAUCCACUCUGAUGUCUAAGUAGAAUUUACUCUAUUAUUUCGUACUGUGCCGGGUGUUUUCUCGAGUCUUGUGUAUGUCGGCACAGGAGUUUGUAUUCUUUUACUUAUGUUGUGACCGCUGUGUUAGCGGGGUACCCAUAGUGCAUGCAUGUCUUGACCUUUGCUUCCGCUGUUCU